rnacentral:lncRNA from 1 species
GCGACCCUCGCGAGGACGCUCCUGAGGGGAGGUGGCCCAUGUGCUGAGCAGCAGAGCCCGAGAGCUCCGAGAAACCAACUUCCCGCCGGCCCGCCCGUCGGCCCGCUCGCCCGCCCGGUCGCCCGAGCCUCCCCGGGGUAGCUCCUCGCUCUGUCCGCACCGGCCUGCAGAGCCGGGUCCCCGCCCUGGUCGCGGGGACACCCGUCAGGUGCCCGGGACUCGCGACCCAGACGCCGCCCGUGCCCCGGCAGCCCUCCCACGCCUCCAGCCCGGGAUCGCAGCCUCGGCUCACGCUGGGCCGGGGACCCCUGCCACUCCCGGGCGGCCUCGGCGCAGCAGGGCAAUGCAGCCCGGCCCGCUGGCCCUCUAGUCCUCCUCGUCCGUCCCCGCACCUCUUCUCAGCCCCGAGGCCCCGCGGUGGCUGCCCGGAGGUCCUCCGCGCCUCUUCCUUGAGCCCCGAAGGACCUUCCUGGCUGCGCGAGUCAACCCUCUUCAUGCUGCAGUGCUGCACCGUUUCCGCUACCGAAGGGGACAAGCGGCCGGGAUCUCAAACAAAACACAAGAACUGGUGUGUGACUCAUCUGCUCGGAUACCUCCUGUCCCCAAACUGUCUUCCAGGAGUUUUCUUGGCCGAAGCUGCCCAAUGUUUGAGCCUUUUCUUCCUAGGGAAGAUGGACUGAAAGCUGCUAGUUGGGGACUUUUUUUGGUCAAGGUGCCUCUGUAUUUUAAAGGAGGUGAUGGGGCUUGCGCUGGCUUGUCCUCCUGCCCAAUUGAAGAGUUGUUGAUGUUCACUGGUUAUGCUUAGACAAUGCGCAGUUUGUUUUAAUUUAAAAAUUUUGGGGGGUUAGGGGGUGUAGGCUUGAGAAGAGCAUUCCGAACCUGGAGGAGCUCCUCAUUGUCCCUGGUCCAGACACCCCCCAGCCUGUCCUCGAUGCCGUCAGCCUUGGCCAUCUUCACUUGCCGCCCGAACUCGCACCCGUUUCAGGAGCGUCAUGUCUACCUGGACGAGCCCAUCAAGAUCGGCCGCUCGGUGGCACGCUGUCGACCAGCGCAGAAUAAUGCCACCUUUGAUUGCAAAGUGCUGUCAAGGAACCAUGCCCUCGUCUGGUUUGAUCACAAGACGAGCAAGGUAAUGUCGCUAUAGUGUUUGACAGUCUUUCCUUUCCUUUCCUUUCCUUUCCUUUCCUUUCCUUUCCUUUCCCUUCACCUUCUCUGAGAGGUGUAAUGUAUGCAACGAUCUCAGGGUUUCUUCCCAGAGGACACUUUUCUGCGAGGCCUCGGAAUCAGCUUUUUGUGUGUGUCUGAAUUCUAGUGGAAAUGGAAUCGAAGUGGUUGAAUGAAAAACAGAGAAGGUAUUGUUACUAAAUGUCUCGGCAGGGCGAUGGCUUCUUGAUAAACUUGGUCAUUCCCAGUGAAAUCCCAAACCCUAAUUCGUUUAGGAAAGGUAGAUAGUGAAACUUGACCUCUGACUUUCAGUCCUUUUAGAAGGGUGAAUCUGCAGGUCGGUGCUUGAUUAAGCAAGCAGUGGUUCCCAGAGCAAUGCCGGAAUUUGUGGCCUCUGUUACAUCGAGGCUCAAGUGUCUAUGGUGAAAUGUAGUUAACACAUGGCUUGUAGUUGAAUUCAACUCAGGACCUUGUCUGGUAGGAUAACUGGAGUGCAAAGUUACUGUUUGUAACGAUUGAUACUUACUUGCCCCGAUGAAAUAAUUUGUAAAUAUUAAAGGCAAUUUAAUUAAGCUAGAGUAAGUAACUACAUCUUUGGAGUUCUGUUUGCAAGUUGGAUCAACAGAAAUCUAUUGCUCUUGAAAGUCACUUCUCAAUUUCUUUGGUAGAUAAUGUGUAAUUAUAUGAUGAUAUGC